GAUCAUGGCUCAGGAUGAACGCUGGCGGCGUGCCUAACACAUGCAAGUCGAGCGAUUCUCUUCGGAGAAGAGCGGCGGACGGGUGAGUAACGCGUGGGUAACCUGCCCUAUACACACGGAUAACAUACCGAAAGGUAUGCUAAUACGGGAUAACAUAAGAGAUUCUCAUGGAUUUCUUAUCAAAGCUCCGGCGGUAUAGGAUGGACCCGCGUCUGAUUAGCUUAGGUUGGUGAGGUAACGGU
rnacentral:rRNA from 1 species